rnacentral:piRNA from 1 species
AGGGUUGUAACCAGUAUGAGGUCAGAG